GAUAAUUGGAAUUGAAACUUUGUCUUAUUAAAAAAAAUUGUACAAGCAAUGUAUUUAUAACUAUCAAAACAAAAUGAACUAAAAACAUUCAUAACAGAAAUAUCUAGCUUUAGAUUUUGGAUAGUUAGAGCUAAGAACCUAACUCUUUUAUUUAGUUUAUUUCAACACUUCUAACUCAUAAUCAUUUUCUUAGUUCUUCAAAUCUGUCUAACCUAAGUUGGUAUGGUAAAUAUAUCAGCCAUUUGAGAUUGGUGUUGCAAUGCUGCACUUCUAACUUGGUCUCUAUGUGUUUACCCCUCCCAUGUGAGAUUGAAUUCUUUGCAAGAUUGAUGACAAAUUGGUUGUCCACGCAAAGUUGCACGGUCUUCACAUGUUCUAGCUUUAAUUCAUCAACCACAGAUUAAAGCCAAACAAAUUGACAAGCUGCCUCUCCUGCAGAUAUAUACUUUGCCUCACAAGAUGAGAGAGCAACCACAAUUUGCUUCUUAGAACACUAAGAGAUUGGUGCUUUCAAAUAUUAGAAAAAAAUAUCCAUAUGUGCUCUUCCUUCCCACGUUAUCAUUGUGUUGGAAAUUAAUUUGAUAAUUGGAAUUGAAACUGAAUUCUCUUAUUAGAAGAAAUUGUAUUGAUACAAUACAAACAAUACUAUGUAUAACCGUCAAAACACAAUGAAUUAAAAACAUUAUGAUAAACAGAAAUAUCUAGUUUUGGAGUUAACAACCUAACUUUUUUAUUUAGCUUAUUCCAACACAACACGUGAGAAUUAUAAUUGUAUUCUGAUCAAUACAAUUUUAAAACUAUUUCAUUUCAAUAAUAUUUUUUCCGUUAGAAUCUAAUUCACGUUUGUCAACGUAUUAGCAGUCACCAUAUAUCACAUCUACUUUGUUUCACAAUGACAUGUUUAUUCACUUUGGGUGAGGUGUAUACUUUGUGUUGUAUAUUGUUAAACUGAAGCCAUCCUCACGCAUUACUGAAAUUGUUGCAGAUUAUGUGAUACCUGCAGGAUGGAAGGUUCUUCCUGUCUUGUCUGCGGGACAUUUGGAUCCCACCCUUUUUGAAAAUCCUUUGGAGUUCGAUCCCUUUCGGUGGAAUGUAGGUUCUUGCAUAAAUCAUGCUAAAUAAUGUCUUUGAAAUUCAUAAGGCUAACUCUUGUUUAAUAUAUAGCUUUAUUCUUGCAUUGCAUAUAUAAAUGUGAAUGAACACACCACACGAAUACGCAACAACUUUUAUUUGUAACCCUAGCAGAUAAUUAGUUUUUGUCUGUAUUUGCAGGACAAUUCGAUAAGAAAGAAAGUGGCACCAUUUGGUGGGGGUCCACGACUCUGUCCAGGGGCUGAUCUAGCAAAAGUGGAGACAGCAUUCUUCCUUCAUCAUUUUGUCCUCAAUUAUAGGUACUUUACUCAUUGCACUACCCACUUACAUAUUUUAACAUGCAUGCACAGAUUAUGGUAAGCACUAGCAAGAUCGGCUAUAUAUCCAUUUAUUAAUUAACGCCUGGUUCCCCCAUUUAUUAAUCUGUAACGCUUUCUGUCCAGGGGCUUAAUAUGUCUAGUAUAAAGCUACCUACCUGUACUGUAGAAAUCAUUUUGAUGACUUUUUUUUCUCAUGUUAUUAUUUCCCUUUGAUCUCCUCCACCUACUACAAAUUUCUUUUCUUUGGUGUUUAGGCAUUUUGACACUUAUGGAAGGGUGCAUAAUUGAAAUAAUAUCAAUCACACACUAUUUUUUCUUAUCGACAAAGAAUAAUUGAAUUAAUAGGCACAUUUCAGGAUUCUCUCUACCCUUAUACAUAAAAGAUGACCUACUACCUAGCUAACAUAAAAAAGAAAGAGUUUAGGCAAAGAGCAUGAUAAGCAACAAGCUCUUCAUAACAAAAUAUGAGCCCUUGCACUUAUAGAGCCCGCCCAACAGUUUUCCGAAAACUAACCAAAACACCCCAGAGCUGGAUGGGAUGCUUCUGGUCUGCCUAUAUGAAUCAGCUAUGCCAAAAAACACUUAAAGUGAACUAAAAAUCAAGAAUUGAAAGAACAAAUUAAGUUCUAUCUAAAAUAAGGAGCAAGAUAUAUAUUCAUGGCAAUAGCUCUGUCCUUUGCACCAUGUACUCCAACACAACCUCUCUUAUAGGUUCCAACGCUUGCUGCAUAAUUAUCUAGCACAUAUAACACAUUAAGCACCCCCUCGAUUGUAUUCCAUGCUCCCUGCAAUUCAAUUAUCACUUCUUCAUCUCCCUAUCUUCCAACAUCCUCUAAACCUCCUUACACAGCCCGCAUACUCCCUAUGGAUGGAUCCUAAAAAACAGACCAGCAGUUGAAGUUGGAAUUCUGCACUGGAUGGGACUGCAUAAAACCAGGAUAAAAACUGCAGCUUCUUAAAAAAUCAUUCUUCCUUCAUCUACCAUCCUCCAAUGCAUUCUCACUAAUGGUUUGCAGCGGCUACUGCAUAAUUCUGCAGCACCUUGAUACUUCUCCAAAAUAUUCAUAGCAGACCCUCAAACACCCCAAAAACUAUGCAUCCCUGCUGUAAACGAAUGGGCUAUAGCAUGUCAUAGCUGCAUUGCACAGUAGAACUGUUGUGCCACACUGCAUAAUAGAGAACCUUGACAGCAACUCAAACCUAUGCUUUGAUACCUCAUUCUUCCUUCAUCUUCCAUUUCCUGCUACAUUCCUCUCCUUCACAUAUUCCUGUAAAAACUCCUCUACUGUUUGUUUAUAGUGGUCCAGUUUGACAGCAGCCGUGCAUCAGAACCAGAACUCUCUGUGUUGUUCUGGAUUCAGUACUAACCAAGCUGCCACUUUCUUCUUCGUAUGCCCUAAAAGGCCAAUGAGCCUAGCCAAAGAUGAAACAGGGCAGCUGCUGAAGCAUCAACUAGCCCCGGUUUGCUUUGCAGGCAGUCACACACUCCUUCAUGCCCCUAAGCCAUAAAGCUCUGCACUAGCCAUAAAGCUCUGCUCUAGGCAUAAAAACUGCUCCACUAAAGGCACAUCAAUUGCUGCAUACACCUUGUUCUCAACCCUGCUACAGUCUGCUUUGUUUUAUGCAUCAAGCCAACUUCCUCAGUGCUUUAAUCACUGAUAUACAUCCUCCUUGCCUCUGAUUACCCAAGGCACCUACGGCACACACCAACAACUAAACUGCUGCUUAAUUAUGCAGAGCUGAGAAGAGUUAUGCAACUCCUAUAACAUGUAGAAAAAUAGAACAUAGAAGAAACACCUAUAAAAGACCAUGGGCUAACUGAGUAAAACACUCUGCCUGCCACUAAGAGGUCCUUGGACUGUAUCUUCACACACCAUUUCUGCGUUCCCACACUAAGAUGGCUCUACCUUUCCCCCCCUGCACAUCGUUAUAGUGACCAGCAUACCAUCCAGAGGGUUGCCCUUCCUUAUUACCUGAAACUCUUAAAGCAAAGGUCAGGAUUCAAUUGCCAAUUCGAAAAAGACUAAUUGAAAGAACACACCCUAUAUUUCAUCCAAAGCCACACUCUAAGUUGUGUAAAAUGGAAAAUUUCUUCCGCAUCCGAUACCCCUUCUUUAACUAAAUUUCUUUGUUCCCAAAUGCCCCUCACCACUGCCACUCACAUUCCUUUCCAUAGCAGAUUUUUCUUGAUUUUUUCUUGAUGUUCAUAUGUACCAAGUGAAAGUUUUCAAAAUGAGACAACAAAUCCAUUUGUUGAAUAGACAUAAUACCUAUCCAUCUAAGGCAUAAUGACCAUACCCAUUGUGCAAUGACGCAUUACAAGAAAAGGUGUUGAGAUGUCUCUUUCGUAGCUUGGCACAACCCACAAACAGGUGAUUCCACUAACAUUCCUCUUCUUAAUAAGUUGUUUGUGUUGCCAUUUUGUCCAAUAGAAUCCUCCAAGCAGUAGUCAUUGCAUUGGGACAAGCUUUAACCACAACUGUUUGAAAAUGCCAUAAGGUUGGGUAGUGACAUGAUUAGCCAAGCACUCAUAAGUCGAUUUCACUGAGAUCCCCCUGUGGUAUCCCCUCCCCACACUUGAAGGUCUGAAGCUUCCCUAUUCAGAAUACCCGUAGAGAUAUGCCAUCAUUUCUUCUUCUUGUAAAGAUUCUCAUUCAAACCUGACCCUUAUCCACCUUAACUUCCAACACCACACAGAUUCUUCCCAGACACCUACCUCACCCACCAUCAGUCCCUGAUCCAAUGACAGAGAAAACAACCUAGGAUAUAAGGUAUUGAGAUUAUAUCUACCUAACCAAUUGUCCUCCCAUAAUUUAGUUUUGUCCCUUGAUCCAACAUACUUUUGAUAACUCUUACCACCAAGACUAGAGUUUCAUCUGGCUUUGCCUUCGACCUGAUUCCAACCCAUAUUUUGAUACUAAAAUUUCUUUCCACUUCCCUUGUUCACUAACCGCCAUUUCCAUUUGGAAAAAAAGGCAUUGUUAAAAAUUCUUAUACCUUUAAUCCCUAGCCCACCUUCCUCCAAGGGUUUGCAAACAUUCUCCCAUCUUAUCCAAGAUAUAUAUUUUUUGUCUCUUCCUCACCCCCACAGGAAUUUUUGAAUACUAACAAUUCUCUUGUACACUGAUGUCGGGACCGGACCUUAUAGAAAGACAUAUAAAAGAGAGGUAAGGCAAUUAUUACCGAUUUAAAUAAGCAUAUUCUUCCUGCUAGCAACAAAAACCUCCCUCUCCAAGCACUUAGCCUGUCACUUAUCUUAUUUAGAAUUGGCUCCCAAAACUGCUUCUUCCUUUGAUUUCCUCCAACUUCUAACCCCAGGUAUUUAAAUGGUACCCCAUUAGAGUGCAAUUUAAGGAUUUUGCAUAAAGUUCAAGGGCAUUACCAAUGUUAUCAAUAUCGGAUAACGGAUCAUAUCGGAGACCCAAAAUUUCCUUUAUAGAGUUAUAACGGAACCCAUAUCGGGUUAUGGCGGAAGCAUGGCGGUCAAAAGAAAUAUAAUAUAUAUAUAUAUAUAUAAAUAACUUCAAAAAAUGCAAAAAUAAUGAAAGAGACAAUCAUAACUAAAGAUUAAAUUAUGUCUAAGAAUGUGUAGUGGCUGUGGUUUAGGUUUAGGGUAAUAUGUCUCUUAAUUGGGCCAAAAUAGGCCCAAAAGCCACACAUCAGUUUUUAAAAUUUUAAGGUUGAAAAACCCACUAAUAAGGUGUUUAAAUUAGGGUUGCAGCCCCACCACACACCACAUGUCAGUUUUAAAUAUUUAGUAUUUUUAAUUUAAAUUUUAAAUUUUUUAUUAUUUUAAAUCUGAAAUGGGCCAAAGGCCCAAAUCUUUUUAUUUUAGAAAUUAGGGUUAGGGUUUUGCACCCUUCUUCUUCAUCAGCCGCCUUCUUCAUCAACUCCGAGCCUUCUUCUUCAUCAGCCGCCGCAGCAGCCCUUCUUCUUCAUCAGCCGCCGCAGCAGCCCUUCUUCUUCAUCUACUCCUUCAAGCUCCGCUGCCUACCGAUAUUUUGGAUAUCUCCGAUAUCCGUUACCGCUCCGCCAUGCCAAUAGCGGCCGCCAUGGGCCGCCAUGCGAAAUCCGAUUCGCCACCGCCUUGUUGUGGCGGUGGUCUGGAAUUCCGCUACCGAAAUCCGCCAUGGCGAUGCCAUGGCCGAUAUGUGAUAACACUGGGCAUUACUUUCAACAUUUAUACCAGUCGGCUUUAAUUUGUAGAAGUUGAUUUUCAGCCCAAAAGCAAGUUCAUAGAACCUUAGGAUUGCUUUUAUAUACAUAACUUUAUUGUAGGUGUCUUCACACAUAAAUAAAGUGUCAUCAAUGAAUUGUAAUACAAAAGCUUCAACCUCUUUCUUCCCUACCUUUACACCUUUAAGCAGGUUCGCCUUGAUUGCUUCUCUUACUAGCCCAGCCAAGCCUUCAGCUACAAUUAAGAAAAGAAACGGGGCUAAGGGGUCUCCUUGCCUCAACCCUCUUGAUGGAUGAAAUUCCGUCGUGGAACUUCUAUUAACCAAAACAGAUACCAAUGCAGACUCCAAGCAACCUCUGAUCCACAUAAUCCAUUUACUGUGAAAGCCCAACCUGUGUAACAUAUCAAAUAAGAAAUCCCACCUUACCGAAUCGUAGGCCUUUUCGUAGUCCACCUUCAAGCACAAGUCUCUCCUCCUGUAUCUCCUUAACUCCUCAACAACCUCAUUGGCCACCAAGACACUGUCCAACAGUCCUCUAUCCUUCAAGAAAGACGAUUGGCUAUCAUCAAUAACCACAGGCAAAACCCUCUUAAUACGACAUGAUAAGGCCUUGGUUAUGAUUUUAUACAUAGCAUCCACAAGGGAGAUAGUUCUAUACUGAUCGAGUUUAUGGGUACUAAAACAAAUAGCCAACUACCAGCAAAAUCUAUAUGCCACACAUCUAAAUACCUAAAUGGUUUAACUCCCUAAUCAAAAGUGAAUUGUUUAAGUAUUAUAGCACAAUGACCAGAAAUAGUUCUAUCCAACGCAUUGUUUAUUUUUUGGCCAAAGAUCUAACCAUUCUUAUGAAACUAAGAUUCUAUGCAGCCUACUCUUUGUACCAUUGAUUCUAUAACAUGUGUAUUUUCUCUCAAUCAUUGGAAAUUUUAGAAUAUUCAUAUUCUCAUUGAAUAUAUAUUAAACUACCUUAUCUCCUUUAUUCCACUACCUAUUUGAGAUAAUGUUAUCCUUUCUUCUAGUUUUCUAACUGCAUUGAAGUCACCUAACAUGCACCACACCAUGUUCUCAUCAUCCAUCCUAUUCUCCUAUUGCAUAGUAACUCUUCCCAUAUUGAUUUCUUUUCAUUACAUGACUAGGAUGAAUAUACGUUCACAAUAUAGUCGUUAUUUUUUAUCACCCCAUUCCCCUUUAAACAAUAUAUAUCAUUUUCUACAUGUUGAAUUCAUCGCUGAAAAUUUAUUUUAUUCCAGAUACUCAAUACACCUCCAACUCCACUUUGUGUACCCAUUCUAUAUUACUUGGCACUGAUCAUAUGUUAUUGACACCAUUUUUGUCUCUUGUAUGCAUACCAUAUUUAUGUCCUUCUUUGUAAUUAUUUCUCUUAACUAUUUGUCUUUUGAUGACCCUUCUAACCCUCUAAUGUUAAAUCUUAUGAUCUUCAUUAAUCUAUAUGUUUAUUCCCUCCCUUGAUUAUGUGCUUGUGGCUAUUAUCUCUUUUUCCCAUUUCAUUUAUUCUCAUUAUUAUGUUUUGUUCCUCCCCCGAGUAGGUGAAUCCAAUUUCUUUCCAUAUGUUCCACAAUCUAAGUGUUUUUAUUGAGUUAUUUCUAAUACAGAAUAGAAUAGUCUAUUAUAAUUAUUGAUAUAGAAUAGUCUAUUAUAAUUAUUGAUAUCUAUAUCAGACAAUGAAUUACUCAUUGAGUGGAUGACUAACCUCAAUUGGCUUCUUUGUUUAGGUUUUAUGCCUAAGCUUUUCAGUGUGGCAUCUCACUUCAGCGAAUAACUUGUGUCACCAACUAUUAAAUUUUUGCGUAGAAGUAGAAUUUUCAUAUCAAUCUUCGUUGCUCCUCUAUUUAUUCCCCUUCUUGAAUGUGACUAUCAUUCGUUUUCACGCUUGUACUUCCAUUCAUGCCCCCUAGUGUAGUGGUUGUUGCAUUUUCCUCGAGUAUGCCUUCUUCCUCUGAUUGUGGUCACUCUACCCCCAUUAUUUCGUCUCUUCCUUGAGGAUACUUGUAUGGGCAUGUGGAUUAUAAUCCAACAAUUUGUAUUGGGCCAGACCCAUUUGAUCUCUACUCACAUGUUUGUAUUGGGCCUGUUUGUUAACCUGUGUGUUGGGUGCAGGGACUAAAAAAAACCCUAAUUUUCAUUUCAUUAAGGUUAGUUUACUCUGUUGGUGCCAAUCAUAUUUGAACAAUUGGGUGCCAAUCAUAUUUGAUUGGGUGCAGAGAGAAUCUGCCUUCUUCCCGUUGUGAGUCUCUGGCGAAGGAUAUUUUCCCUUGAUCCUCGCUUACACUUGUGAUCGUACAUUCUCUAAAUAGUAAUAACAUACCUAGUUAUAAUAAUAUAAUAAUAUUUUAACUGUGUAUGGUGUUAAAGGAUCACCACCCUUUUCCAUUCUUGUGUUUCCCUGACCCCCUUCACUGUACUUGUCUGUGACAUUCUAAAACAUUUUCACUCUUAUUAUGUUAUUGCUGCACUCAGUUUGACUCGUCGUUGCAAGCACUCUCUGUUGGCCAUCAAUGUUUGACAGUUUAUUUCGUCUUUACCGGCGAAACCACCGAUGUAACCUCCUUAUUCAGUUGGGAUAUUGUAGAAUAGCUCUAGAUCAAAUCCUUUGGCUCUGUAAGAGUACGAUAAAGAAUCAUCGUAUGUCUUCUUUCCCCAAAAUCUACCACAACGCUUUGACGAACCCUUUGAUGGUGUUUCCUCUUCAAUUGAUACUUGAUACACUACCAUUAAUCUUGAUCUUCGUGCUCACUUUUGCUUCAACUUUGAUAGGUGUAUAUUCAAUCUUGCAUACUCAAGCUCCUCCCAAUCUUCAGUAGCUUUAUCAAUCGUUAUUAGGGUACCUAUAGUGGCAAACCAUUCCCGCCCUCCAAAGAUGUAUUGGUAUUCCCUAUAGUAUUUUCCUUGGUCCAAGAUGUGAUAGAUUCAAACAUUGUUGACAACUAGUCCUUACUCGCUUCCCCUUCACCCAUGAGAAGCAUCCGAUUAUCUCCCAUAUAUAUUAUAAUUGAAUGAAACUGAAUCCAUUGAGUGUAAAGCUUUCUCAAAUAGCCUUAAUGGUACAUGUGUCAUAGAUCUUCCCAAUAUAGCUACGUUGAAUCAAAUCGUUGCCAUCUUCCUUCACCUGGAACUCCAUACCUUUUCAACCAAUGUUAUAAGCGUUUUCCUUUGCUCCCUUCACAACUUAAGCAUAACUUGGCAUGUUAUCCUUCCUCUUGUACACUUUGUUGUGUGUCAAAGGUUUAAGGAUCUUAUACCAUCCAUUUUCUCUGUUCGUCCUUCCUACUGCCAUUGAUGCAUUUUCACCUUUUCGGUACUUUGGGUUUACGUGGAUUUUUAUGUUUCCAAUCUAGAUAUUAUCCAAUUGUUUCUCGAGCUUCGGAUUAGGGAUCCUGUAAUACUUCACAAGAUUCAGUCUUCUUGAGAAGAAAAUAUCAUGUAUUUUCCCCAUCUUUGAAAAAAUCGCCACAUUUUGUAUACACCAUAUAUAGUUGGAUGGAAAGUGAGAGAAGAAAGAUGUAGUUAGCUCCCUCAUGAUUUGUUUUGAAAGAGAAACUUAUAUAUGCUUGUUUGAACAAGUAUGAUGAUAUGAUAGUGAAAAGCUUGUGACACAAACUACAUAUAUCUCUCUCAAAAACCUUUGUAGUAGGGGUUGUUCUUCUCCUUAUGUUUAUUUUAGUUAAUAUCCUUACACGUUUUUAUUUGGGGGCUGGGAAGUGAAAGUUAAAUUUAAAUAUAAUUUUCCUUCUUUAUUUGUUAUCGCGAAUGAACAUGGUUAAUGUUGAUAUUACUUUGCUAACAGGUGGAAAAUAAAGGCUGAUGAUCCCCCACUUGCUUUACCGUAUGUGGAAUUCACGGGAGGGUUGCUAUUGGAUCUUGAACCCAUAAGCUGAACUUCUCGGAAACACCUUUGAUAGUUUGGUUUUUAUAUGCUGAAAAUCAAUAAAACAAUAAUAUGUAAAAGUAAUUCUCUAUUUACAAAAACGGGAAAAAAAACUUUUAAAUUCGGAAUUUUAUUACAUUAUCUUUUCCAUUUGGUC
rnacentral:lncRNA from 1 species